GGGGGGAGGCCGGAUCCUGGGCUGUGUCCCGCACCCUGUGCUCCUGGUCUGCGCUGUUGGAUUCGCGCUCCCGCCCCGCAGCCCCCU
rnacentral:pre_miRNA from 1 species